ACCUGCGAUGCAUUAGCUAGUUGGUAAGGUAACGGCUUACCAAGGCGAUGAUGCAUAGCCCGAGUUGAGAGACUGAUCGGCCACAUUGGGGACUGAGACACGGCCCAAAAACUCCUACGGGAGGCAGCAGUAGGGAAUCUUCCACAAUGGACGAAAGUCUGAUGGAGCAACGCCGCGUGAGUGAAGAAGGUUUUCGGAUCGUAAAAGCUCUGUUGUUGGUGAAGAAGGAUAGAGGUAGUAACUGGCCUUUAUUUGACGGUAAUCAACAGAAAGUCACGGCUAACUACGUGCCAGCAGCCGCGGUAAU
rnacentral:rRNA from 1 species